rnacentral:rRNA from 1 species
UAAGGAAUAUUGGUCAAUGGACGCAAGUCUGAACCAGCCAUGCCGCGUGAAGGAUGAAGGUCCUCUGGAUUGUAAACUUCUUUUAUCUGGGACGAAAACGGGAUUUUUAUCUCAAUUGACGGUACCAGAGGAAUAAGCACCGGCUAACUCCGUGCCAGCAGCCGCGGUAAUACGGAGGGUGCGAGCGUUAUCCGGAUUUACUGGGUUUAAAGGGUGCGCAGGCGGGAUGUUAAGUCGGCGGUGAAAUUUUGCAGCUCAACUGUAAAAGUGACUUCGAUACUGGCCUCCUUGAGUGUGGAUGGAGUAGGCGGAAUUUGUGGUGUAGCGGUGAAAUGCUUAGAUAUCACGAGGAACUCCGAUUGCGCAGGCAGCUUACUAGGCCACAACUGACGCUCAUGCACGAAGGCGUGGGGAUCAAACA